UGCACCCAUACAGUUCAUCCCUAUCGAUAUGCCGUUGGUAGUACAGUACUGUGUUGAUAACAUUCACUAUGCACUUGGUUCUCAUUUAACCUCAUUUUGUAACUUGCAUUUUACAUUUUAUUUUUGCACUAUCUAUAUGCAAGUCAUAUGAGGCUUGCCAUUUUAAAACCAGCGUGCUGUCGCUAAUUGUUAAACUGAGUACUUAGCAUAAGAAUGUACCAGUAUUGUAUACAGAGAUGCCAUACAACUUUGGCAGUAGUCAGUCAAUUCAAGUAAGUGACCCAUCACUUUAAGCUGACAAUUUGGAGAAUAAGAAUAUCAUAUUAAAAAAUCAAUUUUCAUUUUUUGGCCACAGAUGCUGGUUUCUUCUAUGGCAAGCCUCAUAUUGUCAAUACACAUUUUCGGUUGUGAGAGUUCCAUGUGCACUAAAACAUGUUUACUUAUUACCAACAUAAAGGUAAAUACAUUAAGUCUUAAGAAUGUGUUUAACAUGUGUCCCCAGCAUUGAGGCUGGUUUUACAUGACUCAGUCCAGUGAUCUUUUUUGUUUGCCAGUACAUUUUGCUGCUCUUGUUUUAUGAAAUAAAAUAGAUGAACAUUUUCAAUCAAUAA